UACGAAGGGGCUAGCGUUGCUCGGAAUCACUGGGCGUAAAGCGCACGUAGGCGGAUUGUUAAGUCAGGGGUGAAAUCCUGGAGCUCAACUCCAGAACUGCCUUUGAUACUGGCGAUCUUGAGUCCGGGAGAGGUGAGUGGAACUGCGAGUGUAGAGGUGAAAUUCGUAGAUAUUCGCAAGAACACCAGUGGCGAAGGCGGCUCACUGGCCCGGUACUGACGCUGAGGUGCGAAAG
rnacentral:rRNA from 1 species